GAUGAAGAACGCAGCGAAAUGCGAUACGUAAUGUGAAUCGCAAAUUCAGUGAAUCAUCGAGUCUUUGAACGCACAUUGCGCCCCCUGGUAUUCCGGGGGGCAUGCCUGUCCGAGCGUCAUUGCUGCCCUCAAGCACGGCUUGUGUGUUGGGCCCCGUCCUCCGAUCCCGGGGGACGGGCCCGAAAGGCAGCGGCGGCACCGCGUCCGGUCCUCGAGCGUAUGGGGCUUUGUCACCCGCUCUGUAGGCCCGGCCGGCGCUUGCCGAUCAACCCAAAUUUUUUAUCCAGGUUGAGCUCGGAUCAGGUAGGGAUACCCGCUGAACUUAAGCAUAUCAAUAAGCGGAGGA
rnacentral:misc_RNA from 1 species